rnacentral:snRNA from 13 species
AUACCUUCUCGGCCUUUUGGCUAAGAUCAAGUGUAGUAUCUGUUCUUAUCAGUGUGAAAACUGGUAUCUUCCCUACUGGGAAGCUAUUUUCACAUUAAUUUCUUCAGGGUCGCUCAGCAGGAGGGUGUUUACAUCAUCCGCUAAGCAAUUUGUUGUCGAAGCAUCGCACCACCGCUUUGUUCAGCAAGCCCUAU